rnacentral:rRNA from 1 species
UAGGGAAUCUUCCACAAUGGGCGCAAGCCUGAUGGAGCAACACCGCGUGAGUGAAGAAGGGUUUCGGCUCGUAAAGCUCUGUUGUUAAAGAAGGACACGUAUGAGAGUAACUGUUCAUACGUUGACAGUAUUUAACCAGAAAGUCACGGCUAACUACGUGCCAG